rnacentral:rRNA from 1 species
UAGGGAAUCUUCGGCAAUGGACGGAAGUCUGACCGAGCAACGCCGCGUGAGUGAAGAAGGUUUUAGGAUCGUAAAGCUCUGUUGUUAGAGAAGAACGUUGGUAGGAGUGGAAAAUCUACCAAGUGACGGUAACUAACCAGAAAGGGACGGCUAACUACGUGCCAGCAGCCGCGGUAAUACGUAGGUCCCGAGCGUUGUCCGGAUUUACUGGGCGUAAAGCGAGCGCAGGCGGUUCUUUAAGUCUGAAGUUAAAGGCAGUGGCUUAACCAUUAUACGCUUUGGAAACUGGAGGACUUGAGUGCAGAAGGGGAGAGUGGAAUUCCAUGUGUAGCGGUGAAAUGCGUAGAUAUAUGGAGGAACACCGGUGGCGAAGGCGGCUCUCUGGUCUGUAACUGACGCUGAGGCUCGAAAGCGUGGGGAGCAAACAGG